GCGAGAGUGGCGGAACUGGUAGACGCACUGGACUUAGAAUCCAGCGCUUACGCGUGGGGGUUCAAAUCCCCCCUUUCGCACCA
rnacentral:tRNA from 1 species